CUUCUUCGUUAUUUUAGUGUUGAAUAUACACCUUUGAGUUUUAUCCUUUCUUUCUAUAUCCAGAGCUCAUUUUUCUUUCUGAUUUUGCUUUUAAUUUUCUAGCCUCUGCUGUGUUUAUCAUAUUCAUGCCUGAAUUCUCUAAGGACUUGGCUUUACCUAUAUGUCACCAUCUUAACAAAUGAUGCACGACAACAUGCGGAGGUAGCUUCUCUUUUCAUUAUUUUGGGAAGUCUAGAUGAAUAUGUUGUGGUGUAUUUGAUUAGUGAAUUAUUGUACCUGAAAUGUUGCCUAUGACGAGGAUGUGAAGGCUUAGCAUUUGUAUAUCCAAACAAAUAAUUUUGUUGCGCCUUUCCGGAAUCUAUAGUUUCAUGUCAAUGUGAUUUUUGCAAGAAAAUGCUCGAUGUAAAAUUUUGAAAAUGCGUAGGAUCUAAUGGGAAGAAGGUUUCUUAGUUUUGAUGGACCUUCAGCUCUUGUGUUCUCGAUGUGCCCUCUCAUAAAGAGAAUAUCACGUUUUUCUGAUGGAGGAAGAGGCUCAGUUGGACUGUUAAAGAAUGCGUUCAUCUUAUUUUUCAUUGUUCAGGAAAACAAAACAAAAUUGGUACUUUAUUUUUAGGAAAUUUUGCGAUAAAGAUUUUGAAAAUUCUACUUGAAAUGGAAAAAUGAGGAACUGGUUGCUUCCAUAAGUGUAAAGCAGUUUUCAUUCACAUUCUUAUAUAUGUAUGUGUGUGUAUGUCAUUAUAGAUGAUAAUAUCAUGUUGAAGAUAAUAUUAUGUAUGAGACUUGAUACCUGUGAACUUUCUCCACCAUUAUUACAAUAUAAUGACUAUCACAGUUGAACACUUUGAAAUGUCCACUUUUGUUAUCUCAAGUAGUUGAGUGCUUCCAGUUACUUCUUAAAGUUUAAAGCUAUCUAGGCUGAGACAAGGAUUUGAAAAUGACAUGGCUUAGUAGUUUUUCAAUUUUUUUGCAGUUACAAGUGUGGUUCACCUUUACCUUACAAACAAAUAAAUAAUUGUUCUUUCAUCUCUGGACCUCAGGUAAAUCCUAAACCAGACAACAUUUGUUCACCUAUUGUCUGGUUCCGAACUUCACUAUCACUUGAACAUCAAUGAGGGCUAUAAGUAAUAUAUUUGUGUGAAGCUCUGGGCCUUUAUAGACAGUUGCCAGCCCCAACAACAAAUAGACACACCGGCUGAAGCUCCGUAGGCUUUUCCUAAUAGCUUUUGUGUGGCUAUUUCUUGAGUCAUAGCAAGGAGAUUUCCCACUAUCAUGGAAAGAAUUUUUAGGUGUUUCACAAGAAGAAAUCAUUUACCGAGGUUCCACUGUUCUUGCCUUCCCUGGAUGCAAACAAGAAAUGAAAACAAGCAGAUGGGGUUAUUGAAGUUGGGAUUGAUGAGUUAGAAUUAAUUCUUUCAGGGAAUCACAUAUAAUAUCAAAUGUUUGCUAUUGCUUUUGCACUUACAUAUGUCGUGGCUGGUGAAAAUAAACUAAAUCAAGGCUUAGCUAACAAAUUAGCUAGAGCUGGUGGAGUAGCUCAAAGAGAAAGAGAACAUACCGAUAUCUUAAGGAAAUUAUUGAUGACACUUCCGGUCAAUAGAUGAGUGUUAUAUUUUUAUCUGUUGCGAGACCUUUGCAUUUGAAAUGUUGUAUUUGCACAUAGUAUUAUAGAUGAAUAAAUCAUGAAAAAUAUUGCUCCAACUGUUUUAUAAUUAUUAAGAAAAAGCUUGUGAUUUUCACUUAAUGGUUCAUUAUAUAUUAUAAUUAUGUUGUCCCUAAUUUCUUCUUCAAUAUGAGUUUGAUAUCUAUGACAAAUUAAUUAUUGUUAUGUAAUCAUGGAUUAACUAUUACUUUACAUCAAUUGCUUAUAUUCCAUGAUUUUGAAUUAAUAGGCUGGGAUUUUGAAAGCUCAUGCUCUUGAUUUAUGAUGAUUUACUUAUUCUUUCCAUCAUUGCAUUUUCCCGUUGAAGUCUCUUUGCCAAUAUGUUGCUUGAUAUUAUUUUAAGAUAAGCGUUCCCGAUGUCAAUUAUGUGCUCAUAGAUGUGGAGGAUGCUUCACAACUGUUGCUUCUUUAGCUUACAAGAAUCUUCACAUGAGGAGAUGAGAAUUGUGUGUCAAGUCUUACAUGUGGAAUAGGCAGGGAGGGUAAUGAUGCCUUUUUUUCUCCAUUGUGCAGUUGCAUGUCUCUUAUGAAACUAUUGAACAUACUUUUAGAUUGAGUUGGGUGAAUGUGCAACUCUCAAAAGACCUGUGUAACAUCCCGUAAACCUGAGUUAGGUGUGUAUGUGUAAAAACUAGUUUUAAGAUGAUAUUUUAGCUAUAUGAAUCCAUUCGGAAUGAAUUUGGGGGAUAAGCGGUUGUUUUGAAGUCAAACCAAAUAGUGAAGUUCGUAAGAUUUCUCAAGCUUGUCUAAAUUUCGGUAGGUCUGACUUCAAAGCUAGUUUUGUGAAAAUAUGUUGGGAUUUUGGGAAAACAUCCUGCAUGAAAGUUGUAGGUCUUCGAAACACCUUUCCAAUGGUAGGUCGUCCAGCUCCAACGGAGCUCUCUGUUAGGAGUUACGCCAAUUUUACUGAACAUCGUCUGUGCAGUGUAAAAAUUAGGCAUGCGGGCGGCGCCCCAGGACAAAUUUUUAGGAAACUCAAAAUUUUGACACCUUUAAAAUAGAUACACUGUGUGGUGCGCUCAGGGGACGCACCAGGCCAUUUUAUGCCUGAAGCGAUUUUUUCCGAAUUUUAUAAAAGCCUAACUUCGUUAUAUUCAGUCCCACUUCGUUUUGGCCGACUUUUUGAGAGGAAACAACCCUAGGGUUUCCCCAAAACAUAUAAGGUAAGUUCUUGAUCAAUUUUCAUCAUUACUUCAUCAAUCUAAUAUCAAAUUUACCUUAGUUCAUCUCUCCAAAUCCUAGAUUCUUGAAAACUCUAGAGAGGAGAAGAAGGGGCGUGUAGAACUUCGUUUAAAAGAUACGAACUUUGGUUUCCCUGAUUUAAUUAAUGACUUUUAGGCUAGUAUAGAUUAUACUACACGAUUGGAAUCCACUAAUGAUUCACAUGAGGUUCAAGAACACGUUUAUAGGCUUAGAAAAGCCCUAGUUUUUCGAAACAUAAAGAGAGUUCGUAGAAACGAAUAAAGCUUUAAUCUUUCUAGUAUAAAUCCAUUGUAGAUUGGUUAUUGAACCUUGGGAAUUCAGUUUUGCUAGCUUUUAGCGGGAUUUGAGGUAUGUCUCUUUUGAACAUACUCUUUCGAAUGGUUUUAUGAACUCUUUGGUUGUGGUUUGUGUGCGUAAGGGACAAGCCACAUUAAACCUUAUUCGUAGUAUAUUAUGUAUACGUAUUCACAAUUUUUUUUUUCCCUAAAGGAUGAUUGAAAGUUGAGAUAUACACUUGUAGUAUUCGAACUUGAAUUACCCCAUAAGGGAUGUUUAAACUUAAUAAUUGAAAAGCUUGACUAUCUCACGUGAAUGCUCCAUAAUGGGUUGUGUUGAACUUGAAACUUGUUUAAAUAAGUGAACCCGAUUUUCUAAAACUGAAAUGAUUUGAUGUAUCCCUAUAAUGGGAUGAUGAACAUAAUCCUUAACGAAUAAUGAGACUAUCAUGAUAUGACUUGUGAUUCGGCUCCCAUGCCAUGAUUUGAGAUUUGGCUUCUAUGCUAUCAUUGUAGUUCGAUUUCUUUACUAUGAUUCUCUAUUGUUUGUGUUUGGCCUAGCUACUCGGGAGGAAGGGUAGUCACUAUAGAUCCUAGUGGGGUUUUCCUAGCCAUUCGGGAGAAAAAGUGACCAUCGAGGGUCGAUAGCCCUGGUGUGGUUCAUGCCUAGCCAUUCGGGAGGAAGAGGGUUCAUCAAGGGUUCAUAACCCUGAUGUGAUUUUGCCUAGCUAUUCGGGAGGAAAGAUAGCCUUCGAGGGUGACAACCCCGAUGUGGUGCUACUAAGCUGGUUUAGGGAACCUUAAACCUUCGUUAUAUUGAUUUGGGCUUGUAUUGGCAUGUGUUACUUUGAUUUGUUGUGAGUGGCUUGAUGAUAAUGAACUCGUUCGCCUGUGACUGGUUUGUUGAUGAUAUUGAUCUCGAGUUGAAAAGGCUCAAAUGGUAACGAAGAUGAGGAGGUACAGACAGAUCUCGCGGAUUAGGAGUACUUGCUGCCUUCCAGACUUUUGAAACGAUUAGAUGUUUAUUGAUUCAUAAGGUGCUUCCGGUGUUAUCCAUAGCAUUGGAUGCCUGUUACGCCUAGGGUGGGUUUUGGGGCGUGACAACCUACUUUGCGACUGGGAGGAACGCAAGUAAAUAAAG